ensembl:miRNA mir-2218.2 ncRNA
AGACUACAAACUACAUCAUUUUCCAUCUCUUUGGUGAGGCUAGAAAAUUUGUAGUUUGUAGUGAGA